rnacentral:rRNA from 1 species
GUGCCAGCCGCCGCGGUAAUACGUAGGGGGCUAGCGUUGUCCGGAAUCAUUGGGCGUAAAGCGCGCGUAGGCGGCCCGGUAAGUCCGUUGUGAAAGUCGAAGGCUCAACCUUCGAAUGCCGAUGGAUACUGCCGGGCUCGAGUCCGGAAGAGGCGAGUGGAAUUCCUGGUGUAGCGGUGGAAUGCGCAGAUAUCAGGAGGAACACCAAUAGCGAAGGCAGCUCGCUGGGACGGUACUGACGCUAAGGCGCGAAAGCGUGGGGAGCGAACAGGAUUAGAUACCCGCGUAGUCC